AGCUGUGCAUUAAGCACAAAGCGAACUAUUCCUUCGCCUUUUACUAAAGAAUAUCGUGUGCCCGCUGUAAUAAACAACAUAUACCUAUUUUUGGAGGGAUAUCUCUUUUGUGAGGAGG
rfam:Zea mays cultivar B73 chromosome 1, whole genome shotgun sequence.